GAUGAACGCUGGCGGCGUGCCUAAUACACGCAAGUCGAGCGGACCAAAGAGAGCUUGCUCUCUGAGGUUAGCGGCGGACGGGUGAAUAACACGUGGGUAACCUGCCUGUAAGACGGGGAUAACUUCGGGAAACCGAAGCUAAUACCGGAUGAUAAAGAGAAACGCCUGUUUCUUUUUUGAAAGUCGGCCUUGUGCUGACGCUUACAGAUGGGCCCGCGGCGCAUUAGCUAGUUGGUGAGGUAGCGGCUCACCAAGGCGACGAUGCGUAGCGGACCUGGGAGGGUGAUCGGCCACACUGGGACUGAGACACGGCCCAGAAUCCUGCGGGAGGCAGCAGUAGGGAAUCUUCGGCAAUGGACGAAAGUCUGACCGAGCAACGCCGCGUGAGCGAUGAAGGCCUUCGGGUCGUAAAGCUCUGUUGUCAGAGAAGAACAAGUACCGGAGUAACUGCCGGUACCUUGACGGUACCUGACCAGAAAGCCACGGCUAACUACGUGCCAGCAGCCGCAGUAA
rnacentral:rRNA from 1 species